AAAAAUUUAAAACAAUAUCCACGUACCAUGAAAGAGAGUUUAAUAUAUAUUAAUACAAAUGUAGAAUAUGUUUAGAAAUUUUAAAACAACACUAAAGAUCAUAUGCUUAAUAUAUAGAGCAUUUACCGAAAAAUCAUUAUUUUCGUAGGGGUUGUUAACGCAUAGAUUUUCAGAAAAAUUCAAAAAAUUUGACAAUACUAUUAAAUACAUAUAUGAGUCAUGUAGUAAUAUAUGAUGAAGUUCAAAGAGGUUUGGAACCUUUGUUGUCUCCGUUUCUCUAGGGAAUAGCAAUUUUAUAGUGGUUAGUCCAAUGAUUUAGGGAGUAUUUGCAGUUUUGCUAAAUUAAUGGAUAAAAAAUUAGAACGAUGUCCUUGUACCACGAAAAGAAGUUUAUCAUACAUUAA